CAGCAGCCGCGGGAAUACGAAGGGUGCAAGCGUUACUCGGAAUUACUGGGCGUAAAGCGCACGUAGGCGGAUCGAUCAGUCAGGGGUGAAAUCCCAGGGCUCAACCCUGGAACUGCCUUUGAUACUGUCGAUCUGGAGUAUGGAAGAGGUGAGUGGAAUUCCGAGUGUAGAGGUGAAAUUCGUAGAUAUUCGGAGGAACACCAGUGGCGAAGGCGGCUCACUGGUCCAUUACUGACGCUGAGGUGCGAAAGCGUGGGGAGCAAACAGGAUUAGAUACCCCCGUAGUCCCUGUCUCUUAUAC
rnacentral:rRNA from 1 species